CCACAGAUAUUCAGCCUCCAGAUCAAACUCAAUUCAAACUCAGAUCAAACUCAGGAAACUGUGUUGGACCCUCGAGGGGGGGCGGACGUGGUCGGUGCAGUGACACGCUGUGUGGAGGGGACAUCAUGGCUGGGAGAGGAGACGGCCGGGCAACGGACGCACGUUUGCCAGAGCACUGGAGGGACGUGCGAGACUGGAGCAUAGAGAAGAGACAAAACCACAGAAUGUGGGUUGCAGAUGUGGAAGGUGUCCUCAGAUCCAU